AACAUCGCGCACCUGCGGGAACCUGCGGAAGGAUCAUUACCGAAGUUACUCUUCAUACCCUUAUGUGAACCCUACCCCUCGCCGCGCGGUUGCCUCGGCGGGAGGUCGCGGAGCCCCGGCCCCGCGGCCCCCGCCGGCCGCGCCCAACUCUUCUUCUGCAAAGCGGACUGCAAGUUCUGAUUACAUCUUGAAAAACAAGUCAAAACUUUCAACAACGGAUCUCAGAUCGGAAGAGCACAC
rnacentral:misc_RNA from 1 species